rnacentral:rRNA from 1 species
AGGUGAACCUGCGGAGGGAUCAUUACAAGAACGCCCGGGCUUCGGCCUGGUUAUUCAUAACCCUUUGUUGUCCGACUCUGUUGCCUCCGGGGCGACCCUGCCUUCGGGCGGGGGCUCCGGGUGGACACUUCAAACUCUUGCGUAACUUUGCAGUCUGAGUAAACUUAAUUAAUAAAUUAAAACUUUUAACAACGGAUCUCUUGGUUCUGGCAUCGAUGAAGAACGCAGCGAAAUGCGAUAAGUAAUGUGAAUUGCAGAAUUCAGUGAAUCAUCGAAUCUUUGAACGCACAUUGCGCCCCCUGGUAUUCCGGGGGGCAUGCCUGUUCGAGCGUCAUUUCACCACUCAAGCCUCGCUUGGUAUUGGGCAACGCGGUCCGCCGCGUGCCUCAAAUCGUCCGGCUGGGUCUUCUGUCCCCUAAGCGUUGUGGAAACUAUUCGCUAAAGGGUGUUCGGGAGGCUACGCCGUAAAACAACCCCAUUUCUAAGGUUGACCUC